GAUGAACGCUGGCGGCGUGCCUAAUACAUGCAAGUCGAGCGAACAGACGAGGAGCUUGCUCCUCUGACGUUAGCGGCGGACGGGUGAGUAACACGUGGAUAACCUACCUAUCAGACUGGGAUAACUUCGGGAAACCGGAGCUAAUACCGGAUAAUAUAUUGAACCGCAUGGUUCAAUGGUGAAAGACGGUUUUGCUGUCACUUAUAGAUGGAUCCGCGCCGCAUUAGCUAGUUGGUAAGGUAACGGCUUAGCAAGGCAACUAUGCGUAGACGACCGGAGAGGCGGGUAGCCCACACGGGAACUUAGACAGCGUCAAGACUACUACGGGAGGCAGCAGUAGGGAAUCUGCCGCAAUGGGCGAAAGCCUGACGGAGCGACGCCGCGUGAGUGAUGAAGGUCUUGGGAGCGUAAUACUCGGUUAUGAGGGAAGAACAAAUGUGGAAGUAACUAUGCACGUCUUGACGGUACCGAAUAAGAAAGCCCCGGCUAACUACGUG
rnacentral:rRNA from 1 species